CAAGGAAUAUUGCGCAAUGGACGAAAGUCUGACGCAGCAACACCGCGUGGAGGAUGACGGCCUUCGGGUUGUAAACUCCUUUCUGGGGAAGAGAAAGGACGGUACCCCAGGAAUAAGUCUCGGCUAACUACGUGCCAGCAGCCGCGGUAAAACGUAGGAGGCGAACGUUAUCCGGAUUUACUGGGCGUAAAGCGCAUGCAGGCGGUUUCUUAAGUCGGACGUGAAAGCUCCUGGCUCAACUGGGAGAGGCCGUUCGAAACUGGGAAACUUGAGGAUGGUAGAGGAGAGUGGAAUUCCCGGUGUAGUGGUGAAAUGCGUAGAUAUCGGGAGGAACACCAGUGGCGAAGGCGGCUCUCUGGGCCAUUCCUGACGCUAAGAUGCGAAAGCUAGGGGAGAGGAACGGGAUUAGAAACCCCGGUAUUCCUAGCCGUAAACGAUGUCAACUAGGUGUAGGGGUAUCCAACCCCUCUGUGCUGUAG
rnacentral:rRNA from 1 species